rnacentral:ncRNA from 1 species
CGGUGAAUACGUUCCCGGGCCUUGUACACACCGCCCGUCAAGCCAUGGAAGCCGGGGGUACCUGAAGUCCGUUACCGAGAGGAGCGGCCUAGGGUAAAACUGGUAACUGGGGCUAAGUCGUAACAAGGUAGCCGUACCGGAAGGUGCGGCUGGAACACCUCCUUU